AGUGAACGCUGGCGGUAGGCCUAACACAUGCAAGUCGAACGGCAGCACAGUAAGAGCUUGCUCUUACGGGUGGCGAGUGGCGGACGGGUGAGGAAUACAUCGGAAUCUACUUUUUCGUGGGGGAUAACGUAGGGAAACUUACGCUAAUACCGCAUACGACCUACGGGUGAAAGCAGGGGAUCUUCGGACCUUGCGCGAUUGAAUGAGCCGAUGUCGGAUUAGCUAGUUGGCGGGGUAAAGGCCCACCAAGGCGACGAUCCGUAGCUGGUCUGAGAGGAUGAUCAGGCACAACGGAACGGAGACACGGGCCCGACUCCUAAGGGAGGCAGCAGUGGGGAAUAUUGGACAAUGGGCGCAAGCCUGAUCCAGCCAUACCGCGGGGGUGAAGAAGGGCUUCGGGUUGGAAAACCCUUUUGGUGGGAAAGAAAAGCAGCAGGUUAAUACCCCGCUGUUCUGACGGUACCCAAAGAAUAAGCACCGGCUAACUUCGUG
rnacentral:rRNA from 1 species